UCCCUGGUGGUUUAGUGGUUAAGACUCUGCACUUCAAAGCAGGGGCACGGGUUCAGUCCCUGACUGGGGAA
rnacentral:tRNA from 1 species